CGGACGCUGGCGGCGUGCUUAAACACAUGCAAGUCGAACGAAGUGAAGUGGGAGCUUGCUCCUAUCGAGCUUAGUGGCGAACGGGUGAGUAACGCGUAAUCAACCUGCCCUUCAGAGGGGGACAACAGUUGGAAACGACUGCUAAUACCGCAUACGAUUUCCUUUCGGCAUCGAGAGGAAAUGAAAGGUGGCCUCUAUUUAUAAGCUAUCGCUGAAGGAGGGGAUUGCGUCUGAUUAGCUAGUUGGAGGGGUAACGGCCCACCAAGGCAAUGAUCAGUAGCCGGUCUGAGAGGAUGAACGGCCACAUUGGGACUGAGACACGGCCCAAACUCCUACGGGAGGCAGCAGUGGGGAAUCUUCCGCAAUGGACGAAAGUCUGACGGAGCAACGCCGCGUGAGUGAUGAAGGCCUUCGGGUUGUAAAGCUCUGUUAAUCGGGACGAAUGGUCUUCGUGUGAAUAAUGCGAGGAAGUGACGGUACCGGAAUAGAAAGCCACGGCUAACUACGUGCC
rnacentral:rRNA from 1 species